rnacentral:lncRNA from 1 species
UGAGGAAACUGCUCCUCAAAAGCUUAAUGUCUUCCAGAUAGGUUCCAAAUGCUGGCCAUUCCUCGGGUUCCGAAACCAUCUUCACCAACUGAGAACAAUCCGUUGCAAACGCAACCUAAAACUGUCUUAAAUUCCUCAUGCAUUCCAUUGCCCAUAUCAAUGCCUCCACCUCCGAAUGGAGAGGUGAUAGACAUGCACGUACAUUUCGUGCCCCUAACAAAGCCUGGUAAAGUACUAAACCAUC